AAUCAUACAGCUACCGAUCGAAGGAAUCCGUGUGGAACCCGAACCUCUAUGCCCGUGGCUGCGGCACCGCCACGGCCGUGUCCACGUUGUUCACGACUCACGGAGCCCGCAACGCGCCGACGACAUCCCCGACCCGCCUGGCCAUGCACCGCACCAGCUCCCCCUGGCGGCUGUCGUCGUGCACCGACGGGACGGUGAGCGUGACGUCGAACGCCGCGUCCACGCGCGCCAUCUCCCCGGCGAGGCUGCCCAUCACGAACCCCGGCACGCGGACCGCGGCGCCCCACGCCACG
rnacentral:lncRNA from 1 species